rnacentral:rRNA from 1 species
AGGACGAACGCUGGCGGCGUGCCUAACACAUGCAAGUCGAACGAGGUCCAACCGGUAGCAAUACCGGUGAAGACCAAGUGGCGAACGGGUGAGUAGCACGUGAGCAACCUGCCCCGAAGACCGGGACAACACCGGGAAACCGGUGCUAAUACCGGAUAUCCCCACCGAGUCACAUGGCUUGGUGAGGAAAUGGAUUCCGCUUCGGGAGGGGCUCGCGGCCUAUCAGCUUGUUGGUGAGGUAACGGCUCACCAAGGCUUCGACGGGUAGCUGGUCUGAGAGGACGAUCAGCCACACUGGGACUGAGACACGGCCCAGACUCCUACGGGAGGCAGCAGUGGGGAAUCUUGCACAAUGGGCGAAAGCCUGAUGCAGCAACGCCGCGUGAGGGACGAAGGCUUUCUGAGUUGUAAACCUCUUUCAGCAGGGGACGAUUGUGACGGUACCUGCAGAAGAAGCCCCGGCCAACUACGUGCCAGCAGCCGCGGUAAUACGUAGGGGGCAAGCGUUGUCCGGAUUUAUUGGGCGUAAAGAGCUCGUAGGCGGCUUGGCAAGUCGAAUGUGAAACCUCCAGGCUCAACCUGGAGAUGCCAUUUGAUACUGCCAUGGCUAGAGUUUGGUAGGGGACCACGGAAUUCCUGGUGUAGCGGUGAAAUGCGCAGAUAUCAGGAGGAACACCAGCGGCGAAGGCGGUGGUCUGGGCCAACACUGACGCUGAGGAGCGAAAGCGUGGGGAGCGAACAGGAUUAGAUACCCUGGUAGUCCACGCCGUAAACGUUGGGCGCUAGGUGUGGGGUCCUUCCACGGAUUCCGUGCCGCAGCUAACGCAUUAAGCGCCCCGCCUGGGGAGUACGGCCGCAAGGCUAA